rnacentral:lncRNA from 1 species
ACCAAGGCAUUACUUAAGCAAUUAUGUACCAAAAUGGGUCGUAAUGUAUGAUUAUACAAACAUUAAAUCACAACGGUAAAAAGCCAUUUCAUAAAGCCAAAUACAUAAUCAUCAACAUGCCAAAAUGACCAUUUCUCAUUAGGCCGAAUAUACAUAGAAACAUACCAAAUCUCAACACCAAUUACAUAUCAUAAUUAAACCAUAAUCACAUUUAAUAUCAUGCCAUAUCACAUGACAAGAUUUUCACCUUUCAAAACAAAUUCCAAGAUCUCUAGUCUAUACAUGCCAUACUUUAGUAUUUACAUUUCCAAAAAAAUACCAAAAUAGAUGUCUGAUAGUGUGAUUGAGUCUCUCACGAUCCUCGGAUCCGAGCUAGCUUUAUAACACUAUAAAACAAAGAAAACUUCGCACAAUAAGCUCAGAGCUUAGUAAGUUCAUAAUAUAAUACAUUUAACUCAUUAUAAAAAAAAUACUAUAUGACAUAAUUGCUAACACAUAGUUCAACUCAAAUUACUACUCAAUAUUAUUCAUAACUAUUACUCAUUCCAUACCAUUUCUUUUAAAUCACAUACAAAUAUAUUUAUUUCUACUCAUUCCCAACUUAUUCAACCAUGUUCAUCCAUUCUUAUACUCUUGUUUCUAUUUCAUACAUAAUAACAUCAACCACAUAGGUUUUGAAUAUACAUGUACCAUCUCAUACAUAUCUGUUACAUUUACCACUUCCUCGUUCAGUGACAUCGCACACUUAGUGCCAACAAAUUCACCAAAGCUAUAAUAUAUCACACACUUAGUGCCUUUACGUUAAAUCGAAAUUUGGUUAAGUAUCGCACACUUAGUACCAAUUAUUCUGCCAACGCGGCUUUAGUCUCGCACAUUCAGUGCCAUUUUGGUAGCCGUAUAUAUAUAAUAUUUACACACUUAGUUCCGCAUAUAUUCGAUCCACAUUUCACAUUUUUAAUUUAUCAAUCCCAUUUAUAUUUAUUUCAUCUCAUUCAAAUAUUAUUUAAAACCGUGUGCAUUAUAUUCGAACUUACCUCGGACGUAGCAACGACGAGAUUAGUCGAUCAAUCGAGUACUUUGUUUUUACCUCGAUCUAGAUCCGAAUUUCUCCUCUCUUGAUCUAUAUACAUUUAAAUUCACUUAUUCAAUCUCACAUUUCAUCCACAUAAAUCCAUAAACACAUAGUUAGACUUUUUUUUAAAAUUAGUACUCAUAUUUUCACCUGUGGACAUUUUAGUCCCUAAUUCAUAAAUACACAUAAAUUCUUUGUACUCAUGCUUGGCCGAAUUUUUAUUGAGUCCUUAGCAACUCAUAUUCUUCAUUUAUUUCACAUCUAACCCCUCAAUUUCUCAUUUUCACAAUUUAACCUAUAAUGCUCAAAUUCAUUAAAAUUCAAAUACAAAAACAUAUUUAUUUAUCACAUAUCCAUCAUAUUUCAUCAACUAUCAUCACAAAACUUACAAAAUCAUCAAUGACACAUUUCAAAACCAUAAUCAAAUUUUAAAAUUGAGGCAUGGGCUUGAUAGAUUAUUGAGCAACAAUCAUAAAAAUAUAAAAAUCAUCAAAAAUGAAUCAAAACACAUACCUUAAUUAAGAAAAUUUCUAGCCGAAACCUAGCUAGCUUUUUUCUUUCUUUUCUUCCUUUGAAUUUUCGGCAAGAUGAACA